GUAGUUGUGGCAGAGUGGUUAAGGUGAUGGACGCGUAAUCCAUUGGGGUCCCCCCGUGCAGGUUUGAACCCUGCCGACUACG